UUGAUUGAUUCUGUCGGCGGUUAUAUGCUUGUCUCAAAGGCUAAGCCAUGCAUGUCUAAGUUCAAAUAAACCUAUAAUGGUGAAACCGCGAACGGCUCAUUAUAACAGCUAUAAUGUACUUGAUGUUGAUUAUCCAACGUGGAUAACUGUGGCAAUUCUAGAGCUAAUACAUGCACCAAAGCUCCGAAUUUUAAACGAGCGCAUCUAUUAGAUUAAAACCAAUCGGAUUAUUAAUUUUAAUCCGUUAAUUGGUGACUCUGAAUAGCUAUGGCUGAUCGCAUGGUCUUGUACCGGCGACGUAUCUAUCAAGUGUCUGCCUUAUCAACUUUCGAUGGUAGUUUAUGUGCCUACCCAUGGUUGUAACGGGUAACGGAGAAUAAGGGUUCGACUCCGGAGAGGGAACCUGAGAAAUGGCUACCACAUCCAAGGAAGGCAGAGGCACCCACUCUUAGAAUGAGGAGGUAGUGACGAAAAAUAACGAGACUGUUCUCUUUGAGGAUCGUUCUCUCACACAAUCAUCCAAUCAUUUAUCAAUUUUUAUCAACUAACUAUCAUUCUUCCAAUCAUUUAUC
rfam:Brugia malayi, FR3, WGS project CAPY01000000 data, contig: ctg1510867